rnacentral:rRNA from 1 species
UACGGGAGGCAGCAGUGGGGAAUAUUGGACAAUGGGCGCAAGCCUGAUCCAGCCAUGCCGCGUGUGUGAAGAAGGCCUUAUGGUUGUAAAGCACUUUAAGCGAGGAGGAGGCUACUUUAGUUAAUACCUAGAGAUAGUGGACGUUACUCG